rnacentral:rRNA from 1 species
UAGGCCUACGGGACGCAGCAGUGGGGAAUAUUGCACAAUGGGCGAAAGCCUGAUGCAGCAACGCCGCGUGAAGGAAGAAGGGUUUCGGCUCGUAAACUUCUAUCAACAGGGACGAAAGAAAUGACGGUACCUGAAUAAGAAGCCCCGGCUAACUACGUGCCAGCAGCCGCGGGAAUACGUAGGGGGCAAGCGUUAUCCGGAAUUACUGGGUGGAAAGGGUGAGUAGGCGGCAUGGUGAGCCAGAUGUGAAAGCCUUGGGCUUAACCCGAGGGUUGCAUUUGGGAAUAUCCAGCUAGA